CCUACGGGAGGCUGCAGUGAGGAAUCUUGGUCAAUGGACGCAAGUCUGAACCAGCCAUGCCGCGUGCAUGAAGACGGCUCUCUGAGUUGUAAACUGUUUUUGUACGGGGGUAAAUGCAGGUACGCGUAUCUGUCUGACAUUACCGUACGUAUAAGGAACGGCUAACUACGUGACAGCAGCCGCGGCAAUAUGGAGGGUACAAGCGUUGUCCGGAUUUAUUGGGUUUAAAGGGUGCGUAGGCGGUCGGAUAAGUUAGAGGUGAAAUCCCGAGGCUCAACUUCGGAAUUGCCUCUGAUACUGUACGGCUAGAGAGUAGAUGCGGAAGGUGGAAUGCAUUGUGUAGCGGUGAAAUGCGUAGAGAUCAGACAGAACACCAGUGGCGAAGGCGGCUUAC
rnacentral:rRNA from 1 species